AGCGUUGAAACACCGGUUCUCGUACGAUCACCGAAGUUAAGCAACGUCGAGCCUGGUCAGUAACUUGAUGGGUAACUGCUUACGGAUACCAUGUGGUGUAA